rnacentral:rRNA from 1 species
GUAACAAGGUCUCUCGUUGGUGAACCAGCGGAGGGAUCAUUACUGAGUUUACGCUCUACAACCCUUUGUGAACAUACCUAUAACUGUUGCUUCGGCGGGUAGGGUCUCCGCGACCCUCCCGGCCUCCCGCCUCCGGGCGGGUCGGCGCCCGCCGGAGGAUAACCAAACUCUGAUUUAACGACGUUUCUUCUGAGUGGUACAAGCAAAUAAUCAAAACUUUUAACAACGGAUCUCUUGGUUCUGGCAUCGAUGAAGAACGCAGCGAAAUGCGAUAAGUAAUGUGAAUUGCAGAAUUCAGUGAAUCAUCGAAUCUUUGAACGCACAUUGCGCCCGCCAGCAUUCUGGCGGGCAUGCCUGUUCGAGCGUCAUUUCAACCCUCAAGCUCUGCUUGGUGUUGGGGCCCUACAGCUGAUGUAGGCCCUCAAAGGUAGUGGCGGACCCUCUCGGAGCCUCCUUUGCGUAGUAACUUUACGUCUCGCACUGGGAUCCGGAGGGACUCUUGCCGUAAAACCCCCAAUUUUCCAAAGGUUGACCUCGGAUCAGGUAGGAAUACCCGCUGAACUUAAGCAUAUCA